GCUGCUCAAAGGGGGAAAGUGUAAGAUCAUCUCUGCAGAUAAAACUGUGCCAUGACCUCAACAAAUGUAUCUAUAAAUAACAUAAUUUAAAAAGAAAACAAGACCAAGCCCUUUUAUCAUAUAUAUGGGGUUGAUGUAUUGCAAAUUUGAAGAACACGCUGUGUACCCAAUAGGAGAAACCGGUGCUGCCUUUGUUUUGCUCUUACUCUUGUACAGUAGGUACAACAGUUCCAUUAUUACAGGUGGGGUAAAAACACUCAACUAAUGUUUCACAGCAAUUUGAUAAAAAAAAACUAACAAGAUGUCACAUUUGUGCAUGUUUUGGGAAGUGAGUCACUCACUUUGAAGCACAACACUGUGCAGAAACACCGUUCCAUUUUUGUUGUUCCUCUUUUGGAGCAACUGUAUUAUACUGUCUUGCAUUCCAUGCAUUUAAGAUUUCCAAUUACGCACAUGCUGCUAGCUAGGCUAAUGCGCUGCAUUGAGGAAAGCAUCUGGCACUAGGCCAGACAAGGAUACAUCGAAAUAUCACCAGCUUGUCAAUCAAGCAACACAGUUUGACUGCUUUACCUUUGGUGAGAGGAUGUUGGGACAAACUGCUCUCUGCUUGUUAAUCCCGGCUCAGAGUGCCACUAGGCCGUCUCAUCCUCUAGCGAACUGGAGCCUUAAGGAGAGAGACACAGUGCAGCUGUCUGGCAUGAUCAAGGUGCAGCCCCUACAGGCAGCCAAUAGCCACCUCACCUGGUGGAGGAAUUUCACAGUUGAAUACACUGUAGGUUGCAGCAGGGAGACAUGAAAAACAAGCAGAACAACGUCCCCUGAGAACAUGCCUGAUCUAGUGAAUGCAGAAUGCAUAUCGCAGCCAGUAGACAGCGACGUGCAUUCAGGGUAGGCAAGUGAGGCACUGCAAGUGUCCUGUUCUCAAGUGUUGGCCACAACUACAGUAAGUGAAAAGCAAAUAUUACAUCUUUUGCAAUGUCACAUACAUUUCAUCUGCACAUUCAUAACCGUUUUUGUUAGAGCCUGUGUUACAGAUAUUGGCUCAGUCGUAAGAUCUCUCUGCAUAGAGCAAUGGGUGGAAAAAAAGUAUGUGUAAAGAAGAAAUUUGGUACAAAAAAACAACGCAGGGACACAAUGUUCUUU